GUGUCUCUGUGUGUGCUGGGGAUGUAGUGUGUCUGUGUGUAUACUGGGGAUGAAGUGUGUGUCUGUGUGUGCUGGGGAUGUAGUAUGUGUCUGUGUGUAUGCUGGGGAUGAAGUGUGUGUCUCUGUGUGUGCUGGGGAUGUAGUGUGUGUCUGUGUGUAUACUGGGGAUUAAGUGUGUGCUGGGGAUGUAGUAUGUGUCUGUGUAUGCGCUGGGGAUGAAGUGUGUGUCUCUGUGUAUGCUGGGGAUGUAGUGUGUCUGUGCUGGG